CCGUGGCUAAGCUCCUCUGGAGGGGAGCCAGGAGUUUUGAGUCUUAUUCGCCAACUAACUUCCUGUUGGCAUGUCUUGCAUGCUUACGGCUUGUUUACAUUUCACAGAACAGAUCUGUCACAUUAAAAAGAAAGCAAACAGAGAGGAUUUUCCUUUUUUUUAUGCUUUAUUUUGUUUUUUGUUUUUUUUUAGAGGAAGUCAAAAAUGGUCUCAUAAUUAACCAGCCCCACAGUCUCAGAUCAAGCCAGUUCUCACUGAUUGUCCUUGUAUAAAACUAGAAUUGCGGUUAGGUGUGUUUGUGCGUAUGUGAAAAAGGGGCUAGUUCGUUUCCCUUUCCCCCUAUUUCUUCUGGACUGGUUUCAGGAACAACCCACUUGAUGGAUUCCAAAGGUAAUUGGAAUCAAAUACAAAUGCUGUCAGCACCGCUGUAUCAUGGAUUGGAUGGGAAGGGGAAACCAGAGAGGAACAAUAGAAAUUAAGCGUUCUCUUCCCCUUAGCUCUAUUUUGGAGAAGGACAGUUUUUCCUUAUCAUUAGGAUUCAAAGCCUGGAUAUCUUCUGGAAGCAAAUUAAGGACUCCUGCUAUUCACAGAAGCCAAGCAGCAGAUGCAGAGUAACAUCUGACCAACUGCAGAUGAGUGGGACACGAAUGACUGAAUCCCAAGCACCGGGAUGAAGAGGAUGAGGAUGAGGAUGAGGAUGAGGAUGAGAAG